rnacentral:misc_RNA from 1 species
UCCUCCUUACAGAGGCAGUUUGUUCAGAGUGCCACGGCAUUACCCGCUGGCAACAGAACAUGAGGGUUGCGCUCGUUGCGGGACUUAACCCAACAUUUCACAACACGAGCUGACGACAGCCAUGCACCACCUGUGCACCACCCUCAAAGGCGACUCCUUUUCGGGAGCUUGCAGGUGCAUGUCAAGCCCUGGUAAGGUUCUUCGCGUUGCAUCGAAUUAAGCCACAUGCUCCACCGCUUGUGCGGGCCCCCGCCAAUUCCUUUGAGUUUCAACCUUGCGGCCGUAGUCCCCAGGCGGUUCACUUAAUGCGUUAGCUGCGGCACCGAGGGAACCCCCCGACACCUAGUGAACAUAGUUUAGGGCCAAGACUAC